UAGGGAAUCUUCCGCAAUGGACGAAAGUCUGACGGAGCAACGCCGCGUGAGUGAAGAAGGAUUUCGGUUCGUAAAACUCUGUUGUUAGGGAAGAAAAAAUGUAUAGUAACUAUAUACAAAAGAGACGGUACCUAACCAGAAAGCCACGGCUAACUACGUGCCAGCAGCCGCGGUAAUACGUAGGUGGCAAGCGUUGUCCGGAAUUAUUGGGCGUAAAGCGCGCGCAGGUGGUUUAGAAAGUCUGAUGUGAAAGCCCACGGCUCAACCGUGGAGGGUCAUUGGAAACUAAUAAACUUGAGUGCAGGAGAGAAAAGUGGAAUUCCUAGUGUAGCGGUGAAAUGCGUAGGGAUUAGGAGGAACACCGGUGGCGAAAGCGGCUUUUUGGCCUGCAACUGACACUGAGGCGCGAAAGCGUGGGGAGCAAACAGG
rnacentral:rRNA from 1 species